rnacentral:rRNA from 1 species
UCCGGUUGAUCCUGCCGGACCUGACUGCUAUCGGAUUGAUACUAAGCCAUGCGAGUCAUUGUAGCAAUACAAGGCAGACGGCUCAGUAACGCGUAGUCAACCUACCCUAUGGACGGGAAUAACCUCGGGAAACUGAGUAUAAUGCCCGAUAGAACACUAUACCUGGAAUGGUUUGUGUUCCAAAUGAUUUAUCGCCGUAGGAUGGGACUGCGGCCUAUCAGUUUGUUGGUGAGGUAAUGGCCCACCAAGACUAUUACAGGUACGGGCUCUGAGAGGAGUGGCCCGGAGAUGGGUACUGAGACACGGACCCAGGCCCUAUGGGGCGCAGCAGGCGAGAAAACUUUGCAAUGUGCGAAAGCACGACAAGGUUAAUCCGAGUGGUUUCUGCUAAAGGAACCUUUUGACAGUCCUAGAAACACUGUUGAAUAAGGGGUGGGCAAGUUCUGGUGUCAGCCGCCGCGGUAAAACCAGCACCUCAAGUGGUCAGGAUGAUUAUUGGGCCUAAAGCAUCCGUAGCCGGCUCUGUAAGUUUUCGGUUAAAUCUGUACGCUUAACGUACAGGCUGCUGGGAAUACUGCAGAGCUAGGGAGUGGGAGAGGUAGACGGUACUCGGGAGGAAGUGGUAAAAUGCUUUGAUCUCUCGAUGACCACCUGUGGCGAAGGCGGUCUACCAGAACACGUCCGACGGUGAGGGAUGAAAGCUGGGGGAGCAAACCGGAUUAGAUACCCGGGUAGUCCCAGCUGUAAACUAUGCAAACUCAGUGAUGCACUGGCUUGUGGCCAGUGCAGUGU